GUGUGCGAGGACCCAUGGUACAGCGACAGUGGCAGGCACCUUCCCUGGGGGAGCUGCGGGUGCCCCUGAGGAAGCUGGUGCCAAACCGAGCCAGGAGCUUUGACAUCUGUCUGGAGAAGCGGAGGCUGGUGAGUGGGGCUGGAGCACAGGUGGGACUGCAGAGGCCAGGAACCUGUGAUGGGGGGAGCUGGAGGGGAGGAACAGGGAGGGGGAUCUGGGCAGCAUCUGGCCAGGAUGACCGGGCUCUCUGCCCUUUCAGGCCAAGAGGCCCAAGAGCCUGGACACAGCCUGUGGCAUGUCCCUCUAUGAGGUGGGUAGGACAACUGGGCUGAGCAGAGAUGAGGGGGCAGGCCUGGUGGCAGGGGCGUAGGGGACUUGGAGGAACCUGAGGCCAGCUCUCAUAGGCCCUGUGAGCCCUCAUUGUCACAGGGGACAGCCAGGUGACAAAGUGAGGGUGACUCCCUUGCCAGGGCAGCCCAGAGGAGCUGUGGGGCACUGGGACAAGCAGAGUCCCUGGGGGCGCAGCUGGGCAGAGACCUGCCUUGAGGCAGAGGCUGAAACUGGCGGCAUUUGUCCACGGCCCGAGAUGGGAGGCUGGGCGAGGUGGAAGAGAGGACAGAUGGGUGGGGCUCCCUGGCUGGGGUCUGGCCUGAGGGGAGUGUGGGGGCCACUCCUGGGGCAGGCUGUCCUAGACAGGCCCUUGUCCGGAGGCAGUGAGGGUGACUGGCAGGGGUUUGACGCCACUAGAGACCAAAGACCUAGUUAGAACCCCUGUGGUCGGUGGGGGAGGCAGCUGGGAGGCUGAGAGCGGGGCCCUCUACCAGCUCCUCCCCAAAGUGCCGGGUGCCCCGCCCCCUGGUGGAGCCACAAGUUGCUGCAGCUGUCGAUUAGCUAAGCCCAAGUGGCUGAAGCCCACCAAGGUGGCAUGGACAGGCCACUUCACCCAGCGCCAGCCCCGUGUACCCUCCGCCCCAGAUCCCAAGCACAACAGCGCCCGGAGCAUGGUGGGUGCCCACAGAGCACUUCCGCAUUCCUGAGAACCGCCUGUGAGCAAGGUGGUGGGGCUUUCCGCAAAUGGAAACCUACCCUGCGGGUGAGAGCAGUGCAUCCUCCCCGGGCUUCCUCCCUGAGCCUGUUCAGAAGCACCAGGGCCCAGAGUGUGACAAACGACACUCAGCAUCUGGUCCCCAGGGAAAUAGGGGGUGAAGAGGGUGGGGUUUUGAAGAGAUCUGCUUCUCCUUGGGAAGUGAACAUCCUCUCAGAGCCGCUUGCCUACAGGGGUGGCUACACACACUGGAUGGGAGGCCACUUAGGGAGCUACUGGCAUGUCAGCCAGUUCGCUUCCCCUCCAUGACAGACGUAUCUGACUGGUCAUGUGGUCAGCAAGCCUCGCCUUUGGUCAGGCCCUGGAGGGUACAGCUGACCCAUAGGGCCACUUCCAUGGCACUGGGCAAGUGGCUGUAUUGGAAAUGAAGUCGUUGCCCCCGAUUUCUUUGGGGCCAGGUUGAGCUUUCCUGCCCAGAGCACGGAGGCUAAAGGGGGUGGGCUUUGGACUGGAUUGGGGCUGACCUCAGCCUACACCUGCAGGAGGAGGUGGAGACAGAGGUGGCCUGGGAGGAAUGUGGGCACGUCCUACUGUCACUGUGCUACAGCUCUCAGCAGGGUGGCUUGCUGGUAGGUGUGCUGCGCUGCGCCCACCUGGCCCCCAUGGAUGCCAAUGGUUACUCGGACCCCUUCGUGCGCCUGUGAGUGAACUGGGGUAGGCAGGCGGGAGGUGAGGAUAAGGCGGUGACUCCUCACCUCUCCAGGGCCACACCUAACCCGCCAAUCUUCCCCGAUCAGUUUCCUGCAUCCAAAUGCAGGGAAGAAAUCUAAAUUCAAAACCAGUGUUCACAGGAAGACCCUGAACCCCGAGUUCAAUGAGGUGAGCCAGGGCCAGGCAGGUCCCAGCCAACCCUGGCCUUGACAUGCUGAGCCACUACCCUACCGUGGCCUGCUUCUUAAGCUGUGGGAGAGCCGAGGCUGCCUCCUUCCCGCCUCUCUGCCCUUCUCCCUGCAGGAAUUCUUUUACUCAGGCCCACGGGAGGAGCUGGCCCAGAAGACGCUGCUGGUGUCUGUGUGGGACUAUGACCUAGGCACGGCUGAUGACUUCAUUGGUGAGUGGGAACAUGAGGAGCUGGGGUGGGGGCCCAGUAGGCUCCUGGCGGUUCCUGACCCAUCCCCCAUGGCAGGCGGGGUGCAGCUGGGCAGCCAUGCCAGUGGGGAGCGCCUGCGGCACUGGCUUGAGUGCCUGGGCCACAGUGACCACCGCCUGAAGCUGUGGCACCCGCUGGACAGCAAGCCUGUCCAGCUCAGCGACUAGCCCAUGGGCCCUGCCUGCCGCCCCUCCACUACAGCUGCCUGAAACGUCCCCACAAAAAUGAUGGCGGCUGGGGCUGCCUUACCCUCAUGCCCAGCCCCAAGUCAGAGAGGUGUUUCCUCUCUCCCCGCUUUCACAUUCACCCCACCCCAAAUCAUGGAGCCGAAAUAAACAUCUCCUUCAAGCCAG
ensembl:lncRNA novel transcript